AAGCCCCGAACUUCCUUGACGGAGGCCGGGCGCUAGGGCACGAGUCUCAGCCCACAAAAGGCGUGCACGGGCUUCUCUAGGCCUCAGUCUCUAUGGUAGGACCCAGAGCCUGUGCCGCCAUCUUUUUUGGGGGCAACUUUAAAUUACAACACAGGUAGGAAAGUGAUUCAGGCGCUGCGAGAUGACGCCAACAUAUUCGUGCCACCUGGUUUCACCGCUCAGCUUAGUUCUUGGGUGGAAAGUGAAACAGCAAAUAAGACAAUCAAUUGAGAUAAGGAUUGGGAAGGAGUUGUUGGAGGUUUGAGGAGAGAGAAGAUAUGGAAUAACCAUUUAAGAUGGCAUUC